AAAUCCCCCAAGAUCUCUGCAUUGCCAUGUGCCUAGUGAUUUCUGGAUAUAGCCAAUGGGGAAUGUGCUCUUGGAAUUUUAAUGCGUCUGUUUAUAACAUCAGUAUAUACUCGAGGGGAUUGAAAUAUUUGUCCUUCUGAUUAUGAAAGGAUUGUAGAGUUAGUGCCAUUUAGCUCAUGACCAACAUGACAUCUUGACUUGCUUAAGCAAUAUGAAGGCAUAAAGAGUAUCAGAUAUUUCUUUUAUUUCACCCUUUCCUGACCCUGAUUAUAAAAGGUUUAUAUACAGCUUUGAUCUUUGUGGCUUCACUACCUGCUGUUUGCAGGAAAAAAAAAAAAAAAAAAAAAACAUUGAGUGAUUCUAGAUGAGGCUGGUGUUCAGCUGAUCUGUGCGAGUAAGACUAUCCUGGUUGGUAAAGAUGUUGAAACGUGAUCCUUUUGGAUUGGCAAAUGGACGCUUCUCUGACUCCUCUGUGCAUGAUGACUCAUGGGAACAAAAGCCUUCACAGACAGCUCUACUAAGUGUUAAAUAUUUUAAACGUCAGAAUCCUCUAAUGCUUUCCCUUUUAAAAGUAUCAACCCCCACCCCCUUUGAUAACCUCCUUUCCCGUAACUCACACUUGGAUGUGACAUGCUUGGCUCUUGGCUCCUCCCUCCUACCCAGCCCUUUUCUCAAAAGGAGCUGGUUAACAUUCUUUCCCUAGGAUUGAAGGGAGAGGAUAGGAGGGGGUACGUGGAGGAGAGGACCAGGCUGAGCUGGAGCAGGGAAGCAAUCCUCUCUGGAGAAGAAGGGGUACAGAGACUGAGCCAUUGUGCCCCAAGAAUUUUAAGGAAUGGUUUAACUUUCACCAGCAUCAUCUAAUCUUUUAUUUCUUUAAUUUUUAAAUUUUUUCUUUUUACAGCCACACUUAUGGCACAUGGAAGUUCCCAAGCAAGGGGUCGAAUUGAAGCUGAAGCUGCAGCUACCAGCCUCAACACACCAGAGCCACAGCAGUGCCGAAUCUGAGCCGUGCCUGUGACCUAUGCUGCAGCUUACAGCAGCGCUGAAUCCUUAACCCACUGAGCGAGGCCAGGGAUCAAACCUGCAUCCUCAGGGACACCAUGUCAAGUUCUUAACCCCCACAGUGGAGCCACAGUGAGAAAUCCUCAUCUAAUCUUUUAAAAACUUCUUAUGAAAUGUUUUAGACACACUGAAAAUCUUAAAAAUAAUAGUUUCAAUUUCAGACAACGUAGAAGAGAUGCAUUAAAAAUUUUCUCCUACUAAGUGCAGCUAAAAUCCUAGAAAUUAUGUAUAAAACAAGCACAAGACUGAGAGGUAGAAGGAAGAACAAAGACUACCUGAGGACCUUGGGACCUGAGUCAUGACAUAGUGGAAAUUUCCCUGGAUUUCCUUUUUGCCUUAGAUAUCCUACACUGGGUGCUAGAGAAACUACAACCCCCAACACUAAUGAUAUGGACAACAAAAGUUCCAACAAAAAGCCUGCUCUCUCUGCUAAAAGACUAGGAAAGGGGCAGACUAGCAAGAUGGAAAAUUUUUAGACAAGAACCACUUUCCUCCAGCUAAAUACUGUGAAUAAAACUGUGGCUCCAUCCUUAUUCCCACCCUUGUUAGAAGAGGCUUCUACCCUUUUCUGAGUAUAACAAUGUUCCCUCCUUCUCCCUGCUGUGAUAGCAUCAGAGAAAUUCUUGCAGAAAGCCAAGACAGGUACCACCACCCAGUGUUCAUGGAACCCCUUUCCAGAGUGUCACUCAAGGUUGGUUAGGGACCUGGAGUGCUAUUCUCACCUGGCAGUAAGGAGGCAUCUCUUCCUCUUCCCAUCAAGGUGGUGUCAGAACAGGUCUACACCACUGACCCAUCUCCAUCCAGUAUCAGUGUGGGGACUCUAAAUUUCUACCCCCAUUCAGCAUUAAUCAGGCAUUAUUUCCACCUUUCCCACCCUACGUGUCAAGAGAGGUCAGAUGGAAGACUUAGACUUCUACCUCCACCUGGCAGUAAGGACUCAGUGCUUUCUUCUUCACUGCCAUGGAGGCAGAGAAGGUUAACUAAGACAAAAGAUUUAAAUAAGAUCCAGAGUCUCAUUACAUACUAUCCAAAACAUCCAAGAUAUAAUAAUAAUAAAAUACUCAUCAAGAAUCAGAAAAACCUUAACUUAAUCAAGAAAAGUCAAUUAACAUAUGCAACACCAGGAUGAAACAGAUCUUGGAAUGAUCUGACAAAGAAUUUAUUUUCUUGCCUUUUUUUUUUUUUUUUUUUAAGGGCCACACAUGUGGCAUAGGGAAGUUCCCAGGCUAGGGGUCGAAGCAUAGCUGCAGCUGCAGCCUAUGCCACAGCCACAGCCACAGCAAUGCUGAAUCCAAGCUGCAUCUUCGACCUACACUACAGCUUGAAGCAACACUGGAUCCUUAACCCACUGAGUGAGGCAAGGGAUUGAACCUGCAUCCUCAUGGAUACCAGUUGGGUUUGUUACCACUGAACCACAGUGGGAACUCCCAUCUGACAAAGAUUUUAAAGCAGCUACAACAAAGACAUUGCAACAAGCAACUAUGCCAUGACUGACAUAAAUGAAAAAGAAAGACAAUCUUAGCAAAGAAAUAAAAUGCCUUGCAAAGAAAUAGAAGCUAUAACGAAGAAUCAAAUGAAGAUUUUAGAACUGAAAAUGCAAUAACUGAAAUUUUAAAACUUACUGGAUGGACUGAACAGUGAAAUGGAGAGGACAGAGGAAAAAAAAUCAGUGAACUUGAAGAUAGAGAAAUUGAAAUUACUCAAUCUGAAAAACAGAGAGAAAACAAGACUGAAAACAAGAUGAGCUCCAGGGACAUAUGGGACUAUGUGUAAAGAUCGAAUGCUUAUGUCAUUAGAGAUCCAGAAGAACAACAACAAAAAAGUAUGGGCUGAAAAAGUAUUAAAAUAAAUAACUCCUGAAAAUUUCCCCAAUUUAGCAAAAGCCAAAAUUCUAAAAAUUCAAGAUGAUGACAAAUCCCAGACAAUAAACCCAAAAAUAUCUGCAACCCAAGCCACAUCAUAAUCAAACUUCUGGAAACUAAAAACAAAAAUGUCUUAAAGCAGCAAGAAAAAAAACAGUAUCUUAAUUGUAAGGAAAAAACAAAUCAAAUGACAGCAUAUUUCUCAUCAAAAAUUAUGACAUCACCAGAAACCACAGAAAUGGAACAACAUUAUCUAGUGCUAAAAGAAAAAAAAUGUCAAUCUAGAAUUCUUAUUCAAUAAAAAUGUCCUUUAGGAAUGAAGGAGGGAAUCAAGAUGGUCUCAGGUGAAGGAAAACUAAGAGAAUAUGUUGCCAGCAGACCUAUCCUAAAAGAAUGGCUAAAAAAUACAUAUAUAUUGAAACAGAAUAAAUGGUGAAAGAAAGAAAUCUGAAACAUCAGAAAGGAAAUAAGGACAAUGGAAAGAGUGCAAAUAUGGAAAAUAUAUUAGAAGUUUCUUCUCAGCUUGAGUAUUCUAAAUUAUGUUUGAUAGUUGAGCAAAAAUUAUAACGUCUGAUACUCUGAUAAGUCAUAUGUAAUACCUAGAAUACCACUAAAAAAGUUACUUUGUGAGAUACACUCAAGAGUACCAUAGAUAAAUAAAAAUGGAAUUUAAAAAAUGUUCAAGUGACACAUAAGAUGUCAGGACAUAGAGAACCCAAAAACUAAACAAAACGCCUUAAGCAUUUUGCAUUUUGUCUUUUUCAUUUUUUGCAAAAAAAGCAGCGUUAAGCCCUAAUAAACUAACUAUUACAUUCGUGUAGAUGGUCUAAACACAUCAAGUAAAAGGCAGAGGGGAGUUCCCUUGUGAGGCAGCAGGCUAAGGAUCCUGCAUUGUCACUGCAAUGGACCAGGUUGCUACUGUGUCACAGAUUCAAUCCGUGGUCCAGGAACCUCCACAUGUCAUGGGUGUGGGCAAAAAAAAAAAAAAAAAAAAAAAAAA
rnacentral:lncRNA from 1 species